UACAGUCACAUCAGGUUGAAACACCUGUUCCUGUAUGAUCAUCAAAGUUAAGCAAGGUCGAGCCUGGUCAGUACCUAAAUGGAGGACCAAUUGGGAAUACUAAAUGCUGUA